AGGUCUAUCAGGAAACCUGAGAAUUGGAGUGAGAAUCCCAGUGUGGAAAAUCAGGAAAGAGGCUGGUAUGAGCGACAGAGAAGUCAUUCAGGAAAGAGGUUAUUGAAUUCAUUGGAGAAUGAAUGCUGUUCUGAAUUUGUUUACCUCAACAAAUAGCUUACACCUCCAAUCCUGUCUUGGCGUGCCCUGCUCAGAAGACACAAGACACACCAGGAGUGACGUGAGGAAACAGGCAGUAAAGAUAAGCCUUUGCGACUGGGUUACUCAGACCCUCCCUGACAAGGAGGAGCCCAUCUUGAGUGUCCCAGGAGACCUGGACCUUGUGGACAUCCUGCAGAAUGGCAUAUGGAUCCAUUACAAUGAUGACAUCAUGCUGACUGGGCAAGAUGACAAGAGGUUGCUAUACACCAGAGGGCUUGGGAAGACACAUGCCCUGCAGAAGAAAAACCUGCUCCUGAUUACAAGGAUAUGUCGAUUGCAGGGAGGCAGAGGAAGAAAUACAACAGGAUGUCUAUCGAACACAACUUUGGAGUAAGACCUUGGGACCCAACUCCUGUUUGCUUCAUAUACAAGCUUUGAGACGUGAUGAGUUUGCCUCGAUUCUCUAAGCCUCAGUUUCCUCAUCUGUUGUUGUGAGGGAAAUAAUGCAUGGAAAGCUUUUAACACAAUGGCUGGCACACAGUGAAAGUGCAAGACGUUAACCAUUAUCAUGAGAGUUUUCAAUUGGAAUGAAUAGGAGACUUAAAUUUGCAUGAUUGUACUUUUACACUAAGCCAUUAAUGAUGCAUUCAUUUAGUUUUCUACUCCCAAAGAACAUAGAUUUGAUUAAUUAUAACAAGAAUUUAAAAAUAUUUCCAUUAUUCAGAAAUAACCUACAGAGUCUAAGCCUGUCCUUUCCUUCCUCCCUUUUUCCCAAUCUUUUUUUUUUUUUUUUUUUUUUGAAAGAAAUAGCAAUUAUGUAGUCAGAUUCACUGGCUCUUUCUUCUUCUCCCUGGUAACAGGCUAAGUCUUAACCUUGAUUAGGCAGCAUCGCAUCUGAUCUAAGUUCUUCCCAGCUUUCAGCCCAGCCUGCUUCCCCAGGCUUCAGAGCGCAGCUCUGCACCACCCUCUCCACCCCUGCUUAGCAUCAGAACAUUGCCAAAGCUAAGCAUCUAUGCAAUGUUUCUUUUGAAUAGUUGUCUACCUACUUGGAUAUUUUUUUCCUUCUCCCAGAGGCAAAAAUUGGACCACUUAAUCUAUGCUGUAGGACAGUCUUGCCCCUCAGAAAAUACUUGAGCAUAUUAAGUUGUUAUGAAAUGGAUCUGAGAAGCAGAGUUCUGAACCAUGCCCGUGAAUUUCCCAGCCUCAUCACACUGGCAUUCUUUCAUAGCCCCGAAAUACUUUCCACUUGCCCUUCCUAUGAAUGCAAGUAAAGCAAAGCCUCUUGACAAAGCAAAUUAAGAGUAAUCAAUGGUUUGGGUUUUUUUUUUAAUUAUUAUUUCCUGUGACUCAAAUCAAACCUAUUUCUCAACUGUAACGUACGAAAAGAGAGAGAUCAAGUUGACAUUUAGGAAAAUUGAACAUUGAUAAGUAAAUUGCCUUCACUCAGUCUCUUAGGUCCUCUCUCCUUUCCCCCUACCCCACGACACCCCGUGGCCCUGCUCUCUCUCACACACACAGCUGAAGGUAUCUUUAAAGGGUACCUAUUUCCUGCAGAUCACGCUUAUGUUAAUCUCACUUCAAGUACAGAUGCACCGAGGACAUUACAGGGUCAGUCAUUCUUAUCCACAAAGCUUUAGAUUCCACUACAUUAUUCAAACUGGACAAUGGACUUCCCCAUUUUGUGCCCAGACUUGCUCACUAAUAGAGUGACCUCCUUGUUAUGGGUGAGGAUAUAUUUGAUGCUAAAACUGCUACAAAUUUUUAUCAGCAUUUAAUCUUGAGACUGUGAAUUACUACAUCCUGCAUGUGUUGGUACCUUACUUUGAUUAAAAAUGGGAUAAAUC
rnacentral:lncRNA from 1 species